rnacentral:rRNA from 1 species
GAUUCGUCACACUAUCAUUACGUGAAUACAUAGCGUAAUGAAGCGAACCGGGGGAACUGAAACAUCUAAGUACCCCGAGGAAAAGAAAUCAACCGAGAUUCCCCCAGUAGCGGCGAGCGAACGGGGAGGAGCCCAGAGCCUGAAUCAGCAUGUGUGUUAGUGGAAGCGUCUGGAAAGGCGCGCGAUACAGGGUGACAGCCCCGUACACAAAAGCGCAUGUGCUGUGAGCUCGAUGAGUAGGGCGGGACACGUGGUAUCCUGUCUGAAUAUGGGGGGACCAUCCUCCAAGGCUAAAUACUCCUGACUGACCGAUAGUGAACCAGUACCGUGAGGGAAAGGCGAAAAGAACCCCGGCGAGGGGAGUGAAAAAGAACCUGAAACCGUGUACGUACAAGCAGUGGGAGCCUCUUUUAUGGGGUGACUGCGUACCUUUUGUAUAAUGGGUCAGCGACUUAUAUUCUGUAGCAAGGUUAACCGAAUAGGGGAGCCGGAGGGAAACCGAGUCUUAACCGGGCGUUAAGUUGCAGGGUAUAGACCCGAAACCCGGUGAUCUAGCCAUGGGCAGGUUGAAGGUUGGGUAACACUAACUGGAGGACCGAACCGACUAAUGUUGAAAAAUUAGCGGAUGACCUGUGGCUGGGGGUGAAAGGCCAAUCAAACCGGGAGAUAGCUGGUUCUCCCCGAAAGCUAUUUAGGUAGCGCCUCGUGAAUUCAUCUCCGGGGGUAGAGCACUGUUUCGGCUAGGGGGCCAUCCCGGCUUACCAACCCGAUGCAAACUGCGAAUACCGGAGAAUGUUAUCACGGGAGACACACGGCGGGUGCUAACGUCCGUCGUGAAGAGGGAAACAACCCAGACCGCCAGCUAAGGUCCCAAAGUCAUGGUUAAGUGGGAAACGAUGUGGGAAGGCCCAGACAGCCAGGAUGUUGGCUUAGAAGCAGCCAUCAUUUAAAGAAAGCGUAAUAGCUCACUGGUCGAGUCGGCCUGCGCGGAAGAUGUAACGGGGCUAAACCAUGCACCGAAGCUGCGGCAGCGACGCUGAUGCGUUGUUGGGUAGGGGAGCGUUCUGUAAGCCUGUGAAGGUGUGUCGUGAGGCAUGCUGGAGGUAUCAGAAGUGCGAAUGCUGACAUAAGUAACGAUAAAGCGGGUGAAAAGCCCGCUCGCCGGAAGACCAAGGGUUCCUGUCCAACGUUAAUCGGGGCAGGGUGAGUCGACCCCUAAGGCGAGGCCGAAAGGCGUAGUCGAUGGGAAACGGGUUAAUAUUCCCGUACUUGGUGUUACUGCGAAGGGGGGACGGAGAAGGCUAUGUUGGCCGGGCGACGGUUGUCCCGGUUUAAGCGUGUAGGUGUGUGUUCCAGGUAAAUCCGGUUCACUUUAACACUGAGGCGUGACGACGAGGCACUACGGUGCUGAAGCAACAAAUGCCCUGCUUCCAGGAAAAGCCUCUAAGCAUCAGGUAACAUCAAAUCGUACCCCAAACCGACACAGGUGGUCAGGUAGAGAAUACCAAGGCGCUUGAGAGAACUCGGGUGAAGGAACUAGGCAAAAUGGUGCCGUAACUUCGGGAGAAGGCACGCUGACACGUAGGUGAAGUGAUUUACUCACGGAGCUGAAGUCAGUCGAAGAUACCAGCUGGCUGCAACUGUUUAUUAAAAACACAGCACUGUGCAAACACGAAAGUGGACGUAUACGGUGUGACGCCUGCCCGGUGCCGGAAGGUUAAUUGAUGGGGUCAGCGCAAGCGAAGCUCCUGAUCGAAGCCCCGGUAAACGGCGGCCGUAACUAUAACGGUCCUAAGGUAGCGAAAUUCCUUGUCGGGUAAGUUCCGACCUGCACGAAUGGCGUAAUGAUGGCCAGGCUGUCUCCACCCGAGACUCAGUGAAAUUGAACUCGCUGUGAAGAUGCAGUGUACCCGCGGCAAGACGGAAAGACCCCGUGAACCUUUACUAUAGCUUGACACUGAACAUUGAGCCUUGAUGUGUAGGAUAGGUGGGAGGCUUUGAAGCGUGGACGCCAGUCUGCGUGGAGCCGACCUUGAAAUACCACCCUUUAAUGUUUGAUGUUCUAACGUGGACCCGUUACCCGGGUUGCGGACAGUGUCUGGUGGGUAGUUUGACUGGGGCGGUCUCCUCCUAAAGAGUAACGGAGGAGCACGAAGGUUGGCUAAUCCUGGUCGGACAUCAGGAGGUUAGUGCAAUGGCAUAAGCCAGCUUGACUGCGAGCGUGACGGCGCGAGCAGGUGCGAAAGCAGGUCAUAGUGAUCCGGUGGUUCUGAAUGGAAGGGCCAUCGCUCAACGGAUAAAAGGUACUCCGGGGAUAACAGGCUGAUACCGCCCAAGAGUUCAUAUCGACGGCGGUGUUUGGCACCUCGAUGUCGGCUCAUCACAUCCUGGGGCUGAAGUAGGUCCCAAGGGUAUGGCUGUUCGCCAUUUAAAGUGGUACGCGAGCUGGGUUUAGAACGUCGUGAGACAGUUCGGUCCCUAUCUGCCGUGGGCGCUGGAGAACUGAGGGGGGCUGCUCCUAGUACGAGAGGACCGGAGUGGACGCAUCACUGGUGUUCGGGUUGUCAUGCCAAUGGCACUGCCCGGUAGCUAAAUGCGGAAGAGAUAAGUGCUGAAAGCAUCUAAGCACGAAACUUGCCCCGAGA